AGUGAACGCUGGCGGUAGGCCUAACACAUGCAAGUCGAACGGCAGCACAGUAAGAGCUUGCUCUUACGGGUGGCGAGUGGCGGACGGGUGAGGAGUACAUCGGAAUCUACUUUUUCGUGGGGGAUAACGUAGGGAAACUUACGCUAAUACCGCAUACGACCUACGGGUGAAAGCAGGGGAUCUUCGGACCUUGCGCGUUUGAAUGAGCCGAUGUCGGAUUAGCUAGUUGGCGGGGUAAAGGCCCACCAAGGCGACGAUCCGUAGCUGGUCUGAGAGGAUGAUCAGCCACACUGGAACUGAGACACGGUCCAGACUCCUACGGGAGGCAGCAGUGGGGAAUAUUGGACAAUGGGCGCAAGCCUGAUCCAGCCAUACCGCGUGGGUGAAGAAGGCCUUCGGGUUGUAAAGCCCUUUUGUUGGGAAAGAAAAGCAGCAGGUUAAUACCCCGCUGUUCUGACGGUACCCAAAGAAUAAGCACCGGCUAACUUCGUG
rnacentral:rRNA from 1 species